ACGGUUCAGCACAGUUCUGGUGCACAGAGUCAUCCCUGGCUGCUGUGAGUCACUGGGAAUAUCAAUGGUUUCAGAUAUGUCUUUAUCAGCAGCAUGAAAACGAACUAAUACAGUAAGUUGGUACCAGUAGAGUGGGGCAUUGCUGAAAAGAUACCAGAAAAUGUGGAAGCGACUUUGGAACUGGGUAACAGGCAGAAGUUGGAACAGUUUGGAGGGCUCAGAAGAAGACAGGAAAAUGUGGGAAAGUUUGGAACCUCCUAGAGACCUGUUGAAUGGCUUUGACAAAAAUGCUGAUAGUGAUGUGAACCAUAAGCUUAGUCCAGGCUAAGGUGGUCUCAGAUGCAGAUGAGGAACUUGUUGGGAACUGGAGCAAAGAUGACUCUUGUUAUGUUUUAGCAAAGAGACUGGAGGCAUUUUGCCCCUGCCUUAGAGAUUUGUGGAACUUUGAACUUGAGAGAUAUGAUUUAGGAUAUCUGGCAGAAGAAAUUUCUAAGCAGCAAAGCAUUUAACAGGUGACUUGGGUGUGUUAAAAGCAUUCCAUUUUAAAAGGGAAACAGAGCAUAAAAGUUCAGAAAAUUUGCAGCCUGACAAUGAAGUAGAAAAGACAAACCCAUUUUUUUAGGAGAAAUUCAAGCCGGCUGCAGAAAUUUGCAUAAGUAGCAAAAAGCCUAAUGUUAAUCCCCAAGACCAUGGGGCAAAUGUCUCCAGGCCAUGUCAGAGACCGUUAUAGCAGCCCCUCCCAUCACAGGCCCAGAGGCCCAGGAGGAAAAAGUGGUUUCGUUGGUUGGGCCCAGGGUCCCCAUGCUGUGUGCAGUCUAGGGACUUGGUGCCCUGUGUCCCAGCUGCUCCAGCCGUGGCUGAAAGGGGCUAACAUAGAGCUUGGGCUGUGGCUUCAGAGGGUGGAAGCCACAAGCCUUGGCAGCUUCCACAUGGUGUUGAGCCUGUGGGUGCACAGAAGUGAAGAAUUAAGGUUUGGGAACCUCUGCCUAGAUUUCAGAAGAUGUAUGGAAAUGCCUGGAUGCCCAGGCAAGUUUGCUGCAGAAGCGGGGCCCUCAUGGAAAACCUCUGCUAGGGCAGUGCAGGAGGAAAAUGUGGGGUUGGAGCCCCCACACAGAGUCCCUACUGGGGCACUGCCUAGUGGAGCUGUGAGAAGAGUGCCACCGUUCUCCAGACCCCAGAAUAGUAGAUCCACUGGCAGCUUGCACUGUGUGCUUGGAAAAGCUGCAGACACUCAACACCGACCAAUGAAAGCAGCCAGGAGGGAGGCUGUACCCUGCAAAGCCACAGGGGCAGAGCUGCCCAAGACCAUGGGAACCCACCUUUGCAUCAGCAUGACCUGGAUGUGAGACCUGCAGUCAAAGGAGAUCAUUUUGGAGCUUUAAAAUUUGACUGCCCCACUGGAUUUUGGACUUGCAUGGAUGCUGUAACUUGUUUUGGCCAAUUUCUCCCAUUUGGAAUGGCUGUAUUUACCCAAUACCUGUACCCCCAUUACAUCCAGGAAAUAACUAGCUUGGUUUCGAUUUUAUAAGUUCAUAGGCAGAAGGGACUUGCCUUGUCUCAGAUAAGACUUUGGACUGUGGACCUUUGGGUUAAUGCUGAAAUGAGUUAAGACUUUGGGGGACUGUUGGGAAGGCAUGAUUGGUUUUGAAAUGUGAGGACAUGAGAUCUAGAGGGGCCAGAGGCAGAAUGAUAUGGUUUGGCUGUGUCCCCACCCAAAUCUCAACUUGAAUUUUAUCUCCCAGGAUUCCCACGUGUUGUGGGAGGGACCCAGGGGGAGGUAAUUGAAUCAUGGGGGCCGGUCUUUCCCAUGCUAUUCUCUUGAUAGUGAAUAAGUCUCACGAGAUCUGAUGGGUUUAUCAGGGGUUUCUACUUUGCUUCCUCCUCAUUUUCUUUUGCCACCACCAAGUAAGAAGUGCCUUUUGCCUCCUGCCAUGAUUGUGAGGCCUCCCCAGGCAUGUGGA
ensembl:lncRNA novel transcript